rnacentral:miRNA from 1 species
GACCAACUAAGUUAGUUCUUGGUAUGAGCUUUCGUGUGCAAGCACACUUCUUCAGAUACACUGAAUACAGAUUCAGUGUAUCUGAAGAAGUGUUUGCACACUAGCUCAUACCAGAACUAACUUAGUUGG